rnacentral:rRNA from 1 species
UACGUAGGGUGCGAGCGUUAAUCGGACUUACUGGGCGUAAAGCGUGCGCAGGCGGUUAUGUAAGACAGGUGUGAAAUCCCCGGGCUUAACCUGGGAACUGCAUUUGUGACUGCAUCGCUGGAGUGCGGCAGAGGGGGAUGGAAUUCCGCGUGUAGCAGUGAAAUGCGUAGAUAUGCGGAGGAACACCGAUGGCGAAGGCAAUCCCCUGGGCCUGCACUGACGCUCAUGCACGAAAGCGUGGGGAGCAAACAGG